AGGGUUAUAUGAUCAAGUAAUUAAAGAACACAAGGCGGAUUCCUUGGCACCUGAAGGCGAUGAAGUACGUAGUUACGUCUGAUAAGCUUCGGGGAGGUGGUAAACAACCUUUGAUCCGGAGAUUU
rnacentral:rRNA from 1 species